rnacentral:lncRNA from 1 species
GAAUCUUAAAAGUUGCUUUCUUAAGAAUGGGGUGCAGAACCGCCAACCAAAGCAGAGGAGCUCAGCCUGGAAACAGUCAUCCAUAAGAUAGUUCCAAAGGCUUUGAAAAACCCGAGUCUGGACACCUAGAAAGCUUCCAAUGGCCAUACCACAAAGUGUUCCAUCAGCAAUCAGAUGGGGGACUGGAUCAGAAGGAGUGCUUGGCUGUGUGCUUAAAUAUCCACUAUGCUGCCCAGCGUUGGUGGUGCAUGCCUUUAAUCCCAGAACUCGGGAGGCAGAGGCAGGAGGAUCUCUGCGAGUUCGAGACCAGCCUGGUUUGCAAGAGCUAGUUACAGGAUGGCCUCCAAAGCCACAGAAAAACCCUGUCUCAAAAAACAAAACAAAACAAAAAUCCACUAUGCCAGGGUCACAUUUCCUGAGCUCCACUAUUUGUGUUUAA